CCCUUAGAUGUUCUGGGCCGCACGCGCGCUACACUGAAGGGAUCAGCGUGUUUUCCCUUCCCGCGAGGGACGGGUAACCCGCUGAACCCCCUUCGUGGUAGGGAUCGGAGCUUGCAAUUGUUCUCCGUGAACCAGGAAUUCCCAGUAAGCGCAAGUCAUAAGCUUGCGUUGAUUACGUCCCUGCCCUUUGUACACACCGCCCGUCGCUACUACCGAUUGAACGUUUUAGUGAGGUAUUUGGACUGGGCCUUGGGAGGUUUCGGCCUCCCUUGUUGCUCGGAAAGACUCCCAAACUUGAGCGUUUAGAGGAAGUAAAAGUCGUAACA
rnacentral:rRNA from 1 species